rnacentral:rRNA from 1 species
AAAUUGAAGAGUUUGAUCAUGGCUCAGAUUGAACGCUGGCGGCAGGCCUAACACAUGCAAGUCGAACGGUAACAGGAAGCAGCUUGCUGUUUCGCUGACGAGUGGCGGACGGGUGAGUAAUGUCUGGGAAACUGCCUGAUGGAGGGGGAUAACUACUGGAAACGGUAGCUAAUACCGCAUAACGUCGCAAGACCAAAGAGGGGGACCUUCGGGCCUCUUGCCAUCGGAUGUGCCCAGAUGGGAUUAGCUAGUAGGUGGGGUAACGGCUCACCUAGGCGACGAUCCCUAGC